rnacentral:rRNA from 1 species
UACGUAGGGGCCUAGCGUUGUCCGGAUUUAUUGGGCGUAAAGAGCUCGUAGGCGGUUCGGUAAGUCAGGUGUGAAAUCUCCACGCUCAACGUGGAGGCGCCACCUGAAACUGCCGUGACUCGAGUCCGGUAGGGGAGUGUGGAAUUCCCGGUGUAGCGGUGAAAUGCGCAGAUAUCGGGAGGAACACCUGUGGCGAAAGCGGCGCACUGGACCACAACUGACGCUGAGGCGCGAAAGCUAGGGAGCAAACAGG